rnacentral:misc_RNA from 1 species
UAGCGCCCGUCGCAAGCGGACACAUCGGGUAAGCUCCUCGGCCAUGUCCACCGAGACGAAGAGGAGAAAAAGAAAGCUUCGGCGCUCAUCAGGCUUAGAGCUGGAGGUUGACUCCGCUGCUCCAGACCUUGGUGGUGAUGCGGCGAAUGUCAAUCUUGAAGAUGACGUUGAGAGUUGCGGUGGCGCCAGAGUUAGUAGGUGUGUUUCGGAGGAGGAGGAUGAAGAGGAUGUGCCCUCCUUGGUUCAUAGGAAUCGUCGUAGCAACGCCAGCAACGAUGUCCCAGACCAAGCUCUCUCAGGGCUGGUUAGCCUCUAGGGAAUGACAAUGUUCGCCAUUGACCAUGCGUUGGAGGAGGUUAUUCCCGAAGAUCUCUUGCUGGAGCUUCCUGAAGCUGGAGGUGCCAACGUCCGUAUAGAGGUCCCAGACGGCGCACCCUCCACUAGUUUUCUGGCUGGGCAAGAAAUAACCCCACCAGUUUGCCAUGCAUCUCCAACCCUCGAGGGUGCUCUGGUUCGUGAGAAUACUUCGGCC